CUUAAGGCUCGUACAGACUACAUGACUUUAAAACGUUGGUCCGAACUGUGCGGUUCACACUACAUGACUUGCUCUCUGUGAAAUCAGGAGUGUUCACGUUGUUGAGCAGUUCACACCACACGACAUAACGUGACUGCCCCACAACAGGAGGUAACGCACUACACGAGUUGAGAACAACUCUAUCACCCGGCGAUUCUACCUUGUCCACAAACCACGUUUUGUCACGAAAAAUCACGCGAUAAAACAAACCGGAAAUGACGCGAAACAACACGCGCACCAGUAAACCCACAGAAGAAGAAUGAAGACGACGCGCAAAACUUUUGUUUGUAUAUAUAGACUUCAUACAGAAAUUCGUGCUGCAAACCGUUUGCGCGAUGCAAAGCCGCAAAAGAAAAAAAUGAAGAGAUGUGUAUGUGGAGAGGUGGAUCAACACCACACGCGGACAGCAGGGAUUUAAGAGUUGCAGAAUAGGACAGGCUUCGCAAAGCAUGACUUGGAGAGCGUUUGUCUUUGACCCUGCGAUUCUAUGCAACAGGUGACACGUUCAAGUCCCUCAGGUUCAAGUCCAGGAUGGGGGACCAGCACCAUCCCACAAAUAGUUUUGGAUACCUGUUCUGUACCAGGUUAUAAAGGACGAUUUCUUGAAGACACCAUCAACGGAAGGAGAGUGGCAUAGCCGUGGACUUCGAAAGGAAGUGGCAGUUUCCACAUUGCUUUGGGGUACUUGCUACCACUCCAGCUGUAGCAGACUGCUGACCAAAACAUGGUUGAUGGGCAAUGGAAGAAUCGUGGGACGGGUGCUUUUCAACCGAUGAACACCACCUCACAUCGCAAUUGUAUGGCAACAGCAAAAGUGCAACGCAAUCUGAUGCGGGACUACUUUGUCUCACCAGCGUGUAGUGUUUAUUGGCAAGUUCAACACAUUUUAAAAGGAACUGAUGUAGAGUUAUCCCUGCAAACAGCAGAUUAAAGCCAGUUAUUGUCAGUUUAGGACAUUCGUUUUCUUGUGUGUUCUAAAGUCCUGUAUUUGUAAAGAACACUAUGUGGUUCACUUUUUCAUUGUUUUAAGUAUUCUGUUUAUUGUUGUGUUAUUAUUCAAUUAAUUUUAAUUGCAUACAAAUCAAAAGGUGCAGGAAUGUAACAAAUAAAAGCAAUCUGCAUGUUGCAAUUAAGUGCCUUAUACUAACUUUAUUUCGUGAUCCACACUCAUUAUUCACAGAACAUUAACAAUGUUUCUAUACUACGGCGCUAAACAUCCACAUAUCUGAUCAUGAUAAAAUUUAUGGGGAUUGUGAUGAUAAGCUCUGGGCAUUUUUACUCAAUGUGGAUUAAUCUAACAGCCAAUCACACACAAUUAUAUUACGAUAUUUAUAUAUCACCCAGCCCUUAAAAGGGCUCUACAUAGGGAUUUUUGUAAUGUUUAAUUGUGUUAAUGUGGUGCACUGCACGUGUUCUAACAAUGUAUAUUUUGUCUGUCCACAUAAUAUACAUUCAAAUGUACUACAUUGUUUUCAAGUUGCACAAACAACAAUGCAAGGCUAUAAAGCACUAUUCAUAUUGGCGUUUUUUGUAAAAUAUGACAAUGUGUUUUAUACUUUUAUACUUUGUUGCAUUAAAUGUAUUACUUUCGAUAGACCAUUUAUUUCAUGAAACAGCACUGGGAAAUUCAAUCUAAACCCUUCAACAAGUUUAAUCACCUUAUUGAUAAAUGUAAUACAUAGUAAAGUCAAUAGUUUGUAAACAAAAACACAUCGGGACCGGACCGCACAUGUCAUGCAUGAUAUAUGCAUAGGGUAGGUUGUUCAGGUGACAACAUUGAUCCGCUUCUGUCGGUCUCCUGGGCGUUGUAUAUCAUCACCAUUAUGCUUCUUUUGAGAUGUGAUAAGAGAACUGGGUCUUCAAUAUUCCUCAAUUCCAAAGCCAUGGUUCCCAAAUGAAGUUAAUGUAUCCCUAGUUGUUUGUGAGUCCACUUGUGCAACAGUAAAGUCUAAAAUCAAUAAAUAAAUGCAAUGUUUCCAGUUAA